rnacentral:rRNA from 1 species
CGGGUGAGUAACGCGUGGGCAACCUGGCCUGUACAGGGGGAUAACACUUAGAAAUAGGUGCUAAUACCGCAUAAGCGCACAGAGCCGCAUGGCUCAGUGUGAAAAACUCCGGUGGUGUAAGAUGGAUCCGCGUCUGAUUAGCUGGUUGGCGGGGUAGAAGCCCACCAAGGCGACGAUCAGUAGCCGGCCUGAGAGGGUGAACGGCCACAUUGGGACUGAGACACGGCCCAAACUCCUACGGGAGGCAGCAG